CAGCAGCCGUCGGCUUGGCUUUCCGUGCCGCACCCCCGCCCGCUGCCGAGCGAGCCGCCCCGGCGANGGGGCUUCGGUCGCGAGGUCGCGCCCGCCUCGGCGGGUCGCCGUCUCCUCUAGCACGUCCGGUGCUCCCGCGGCAACUGCAGGGGGGGGAGAAGGCGCGUGCGUCUCCCCCCCCGACCCCCGUUGGUGUCGAGGGCCCUCCUUGGGGAGGGGGCGGGUGAGAGCCCCCCGGGGCCGUUCGGCGUGCCGUGCGGAGCGGGCGCUUCAGCGUCGUCCCCGUCUCGCGGGAGUCGGGANAGAGGCGCCCGAAGGGCAAAAARAANGCCCAAACCCACACAAGAAAGCUGCGUGUAGCGGUCCCGGCUCCUCGCCCCGCCGCGGCGGCGCGCGCGGGAAGGAGCCGGCCGCCGGGGUCGGUGUCGCGCCGCGCCUCUCCGGGAGACGCCGGCGCCGCAGACGCCGGCCCCGCCCGGCGGGCCGGGCGUCCGCGCUCGUGCCUCGGGUGGCGGC
rnacentral:misc_RNA from 1 species